rnacentral:rRNA from 1 species
AGGUGCGAUCAUACCAACGUUAAUGCACCGGAUCCCAUCAGAACUCUGCAGUUAAGUGUGCUUGGGCUAGAGUAGUACUGGGAUGGGUGACCUCUCGGGAAGUCCUAGUGUUGCACCCU